GCUCGUUUGGACUGGUUGCGACCAAUUCCUUUGCCAUAGGAGAUGUCUGGUCGCAGGACCGGCCGCGACUGCCAGCGCCGCAUCAGGUG
rnacentral:tRNA from 1 species